GAUGAACGCUGGCGGCGUGCCUAACACAUGCAAGUCGAGCGGCAGCGCGGGGUGCUUGCACCCUGUCGGCGAGCGGCGGACGGCUGAGUAACGCGUGUGAACGUGCCCCAAAGUGAGGAAUAACUGCCCGAAAGGGUAGCUAAUACCGCAUAUUAUCUUCGGAUCAAAGGUUUUAUUCGCUUUGGGAGCGGCUCGCGUCGGAUUAGGUAGUUGGUGAGGUAAUUGCUCAACAAGUCGACGAGCCGUAGCUGGUCUGAGAGGAUGACCAGCCAGACUGGAACUGAGACACGGACCAGAAUCCUACGGGAAGCAGCAGUAAGGAAUAUUACACAAUGGGCGAAAGCCUGAUGGAGCAACGCCGCGUGCAGGACGAAGGCCUUCGGGUUGUAAACUGCUUUGAUAAGUGAGGAAUAUGACGGUAACUUAUGAAUAAGGAUCGGCUAACUACGUG
rnacentral:rRNA from 1 species